UCUUUAGCAAUACUGUGGCCACCUUGUCCCGGGCUCCUCAGGGGCUGGGCUUGGCAUAGGGCUGCACUUCCCAGGCAGCCGGUGUCCCUUGUUCUCCAGGCUCCCCUGUUGCCUGGCAACAGCGUUGGCUGCCGCAUAUUUUCUGACCGUGGCGGCUCCACUCACCCACUUUACCUGCCGGCCCAGAAUGGUACAAUCCUUGGAAAAAAUGAAGAAAUAGUGCUUCUCAGACUUCAGUGAGCACAUGGACCACCCAAAGAUCUUGCCAAAAUGGAAACCCUGAACCACCCAGACUGUAGGUGCUGUGAACUGAAGAUCUUUGACUCUCUGCCUGAGGGGUUUCAUCUGGUAGAGGGAGCAUGCUUGGAACUGUCGGGAGAUCAUAUCCUUAGAAGCAACACUCAACCAAUGACAGGUGGGGAAUUAGUAGAUAAAGUCUGUGUCCUUGCCUCUUGGCUGGUACAUCUCUGAGGAGAGUCCUGCUCUAUCCCCAGAGCACCCCAAAUGAACUGCACUCCAGUUACCUACUAUGGAAACUGGCUUAAUAAUAUACCUUUUAU